AGUCAUUUGGUGGGGUUUUAGUGAAAUCCAAUCUCUCGAACUAUGCAAUACACCACCUACUCCAUUUCAGAAAAAAUGUCGUACGAACCUGAAUUGUCCAAUAUCUUGGACCAAUCGAUAUCGGAUUGAGCCCAAAACAUGGAGAACCUCAUAAUAUGAUGGGAGGAGUCACUUGGUGGGUUUUUAGUGAAAUCCAACCACUAGAACAAUGUAAUACAUCAACUACUCCAUUUCAGAACGAAGUUCGUAUGAAACUGAAUUGUCCAAUUAGAUGGACCAAUCAAUAUCGGAUUGAGUCCAAACCUUGGGAAACACCAUAAUAUUAUGGGAGGAGUCAUUUGGUGGGGUUUGAGUGAAAUCCAAUCUCUAGAACUGUACAAU
rnacentral:lncRNA from 1 species